UGAGCAUCAGAGAGUGUGUCCACGUAGGACAAUUAAAUCAGCCAAUCAGGAGGUUUCUCUACGACACGUCAGACACGCGAUGACAAACCUUAUUUUCCCAAAAUCGAAUCUGGGACCCUUUCUCUUCGUCUUCUCCGUCGUCUUCGUUUCAGGCAUUACCACAAUUCAAUUACCAUCCGUAACUCCUGAAUUUAAUGCGGUUAAGUCCUUUGGAGUCCCUCUCCUUCCCUCCUUAUACAUAGCUUCAGUGUGAAGCUAGCUAUUGAGGAUAUACUGUUGAUCUUCUCUUGGCUUGGCCUCUCCACGACCUUUGGUUUACGGACGGAAGCGAUUAUCACCGCCGACGUUUUUCAGGAAUCACUUGGUCACUGUUGACUAUCACCGUCGCUGAUCGACGUCUCCAUUCACACCGUUAUUUUUGGUGGCGCUAAGUUCAACCCUUCCGGUCACGCAGCCUUCUAUGCAGCCGAUAUCCCGAAGUGGAUGAGCACCUGAGCGGAUUCAAUCGGAAUAAGUUUUUAAAUUGUAAUCGAGAAGGAGAAGCAGCUGUCUUCAGGGAAUUUCUUACUCAUGCUUCAGAAGGUCUAUUUGUACUUGACCCUAUGUCAUACAGACUUACAGUGCAUUGCCCGUUAGGUUAUCACUUUCCUUAGUUAUUCGUUCUAUCUGUUCCACUCAUUCAAAUAGGGAUACCCAUCUCAGAGAAAGGAACACGCGGAUCAACUCAUGGAGAAAUUGUUACAAUCAGUCACUACAUUUUCUCUGGACUAUGAAAAAAAUGUUAAAAUAUUGACUCAUGGGUAACAUCCGUUAUGGUGUAGUCUUUUAAUGUCACAGAACCUGAUCAGAAAGUUUGUUUAGAACUUGAACUUGACGGAGCAGCCGUGCAGGUUAUGAGCUGUGUUUGACACUAAAAUGGAAACCAUGAGAUCUUGAAAUGGAUCGAUAAUAUCUCAGCAGACUGUUGUAUUCAUGUUACCUGCAUUCUGUGGUCAAGUUUCCUCGCUAUUUAUGCAUGCUUAUGGCUAUCGUGUCAAACAUCUACUAAGCAAACUAAACCUUUUUUCCUUCACCAUAUCUUGGUUUUUCUUAUUACACAGUAGCAAAGCAUCCUCACGUUUUCUUUUCCCUUAUGCAUAGAGUAACCAUAUUUCUUGAUUAAUGCUGCUUAGUGAUGCAAUGUUCCUGUAAAUUUAGGUUUUUCCUAAGGUCAUGUGUAUGUUUUAUCUGACUUGGAGUCAUGCAUAUGGAGAUGGUUCAAAAAUCAGGGAAUUCGUUUCUAGACUUCAAAUAUGAAAUGUGUCUCUCCGUUUCAGGGAAAGUGUUUGUUUAGCAUUCACUUUAGUUUAUUAAAUGCGGAAACUAAACUGAUAUUGAGUGGCUUAAGUUUGGGGAUUGUCUCUUUGUUCCCUUUAUGUAAUAGAUGUGCUCUGCAUUGGUAAUUCUACCAUAAGUUUGUUAUGACUUAUUGAGUUCUUUAUCAAGUUUUGAAAUCAUUAAGUUUAUUUUUGAAUGUAAAUGCUCUGUUUGUGAGCAUUCAAGACUUUCAUUCUUGUGCAUAUUGUCAUGGUGCCCACAAGAAAAGUUCACGUCUGAUAUGUUUAUUCGUGCCAUCUUUUGAUUCAAAUUUCACACUUUUGUGUUUCUCAUUAUUGCUUAAUCAACCUAGAACUUGAGGAUCGCAUGCCCGUCGGCUCCGGUGUUGUUUUUACAUCGCCUAUUCCCGGAUUCCUACAGUUUGCUAGGAACAUCUGUAGAGAAUCCAUGUAACCUUUCUACACUUACCUUCAGGUAGAACUUUGAUGGAUCUUAUUGAUGCUGCUCACUCAGACCAAUAGGUCUUGCGUGAGGUCAUCUGGAGCAGCUCAAGGGAUGGAUUAUGUGAGGUGGUAGAGGCUUUGGUUCACCGGUAGAAGCUCUCUUCAACUAUCUAGGAUCUGAAUUUUGGAAUACAUUUGCAUUAUUUAUGUUAAAUAUAUAUAUAGCAUGCGCAUACACCGUACGUUUCAACACAGUUUAGUUCCUCAUCAGCUUUGUCGUACAAAGAAGUUUUUAAUUGAGUUUAUUUAAGUGCAGCUAUGUUUUUUGCU